AUUGAACGCUGGCGGCAGGCCUAACACAUGCAAGUCGAGCGAGCGGCGGACGUGUGAGUAAUGUAUGGGGACUGCCCGAUAGAGCGGGAUAACUAAUGGAGACGGUGGCUCAUACCGCAUACUGUCGGAUAACCCCUUAGGGAUUAGCUAGUAGGUAAGGUACUGGCUGACCUAGGCGACGAUCCCUAGCUGGUCUGAGAGGAUGAUCAGCAACACUGGGACUGAGAAACGGCCCAGACUCGUACGGAGGCAGCAGUGGGGAAUAUUGCACAAUGGGCGAAAGCCUGAUGCCGCCAGGCCGCGUGUAUGAAGAAGGCCUUAGGGUUGUAAAGUACUUGCAGUAGGGAGGCGUUACCGACAGAAGAAGCACCGGCUAACUCCGUGCCAGCCGCCGCGGUAAUUC
rnacentral:rRNA from 1 species